rnacentral:tRNA from 1 species
UGGCUAAGAGGUUAAAGCGUCUGCCUGCAAUGCAGGAGACCUGGGUUCGAUCCCUG